GACGAACGCUGGCGGCGUGCUUAGCACAUGCAAGUCGAACGGAAAGGCCCUGCUUUUGUGGGGUGCUCGAGUGGCGAACGGGUGAGUAACACGUGAGUAACCUGCCCUUGACUUUGGGAUAACUUCAGGAAACUGGGGCUAAUACCGGAUAGGAGCUCCUGCUGCAUGGUGGGGGUUGGAAAGUUUCGGCGGUUGGGGAUGGACUCGCGGCUUAUCAGCUUGUUGGUGGGGUAGUGGCUUACCAAGGCUUUGACGGGUAGCCGGCCUGAGAGGGUGACCGGCCACAUUGGGACUGAGAUACGGCCCAGACUCCUACGGGAGGCAGCAGUGGGGAAUAUUGCACAAUGGGCGGAAGCCUGAUGCAGCAACGCCGCGUGCGGGAUGACGGCCUUCGGGUUGUAAACCGCUUUCGCCUGUGACGAAGCGUGAGUGACGGUAAUGGGUAAAGAAGCACCGGCUAACUACGUA
rnacentral:rRNA from 1 species